GCCCUCGUGGAUCAUGGUGGAUCACCUCAACAGCUUCAUGGGUGUUAUCAAAACUCUAUUGAGGAUGUGGUCUGUCAUGUGGAGGUUCGAAUCCUCCUGGGGGCA